UUGAUGUUAAAUGUGUUGCAUGAUUGACCUAUUGACUCUUAAUCAAUUGGUCGCAGGUUCGAACCCUGCACGACCCACCA
rnacentral:tRNA from 1 species